CACACCCUCUCUUGUAGCUAAGUGUGGCCAUAUGACUAAUUUCUGACCAAUGCAAUGUGAGCAGAAGCGACAACUUCUGAGUUGUUCUUAAAUGGAAAAUAUGUCUUUUCAUUCUGUCUCCUCUUCUGCCAUCCUGGUGCCUGGACAUGGCGGCAAGCCGUCUAGAACAAGCAGAUGGGGCUAAUACUUGAUGGAUACUUGUGGUACCGCAGGAUGGAAGGAGCCAACACAUCAAUAUUAGCGCUUCCGGCCAGUGACUGAAGUGUCUUCAGAAGAGGAAGCUGUAACUAAAGCACUAGUGGGGGUUUUCCCACUCUCGAGGCAGACAGAGCGCACAAAGGCAACUGGAGAACCUCUUAAGGGCAGGAACCCGAAGGUGGUUGCCUGCUUGGUAAAUGAAAACUUCUUUUAGGAAGAAAGAAGAAAAGAAUAUUUCAGAGGUUGGCCUCUCUGGACAGAUUCCUCCUGUGAUCCUGCUCAUGUGUGAAGCCCAAACAUGUGCCAUAUAAAAGAGUUCCCACUGCUUCAGCCCUAUUGGGUAGAGAGACAAUGAAUGAUUUUGUGUGAUUCAGAGUUUGUUUCCAUUCUUAGUCACUGUUCAGGUUUUAAAUGUCACCAAAACUCAAUGGCUUCUCUGAGCAUAUUGACACAGCUAUGCUAUUCUGUUUCUAUGAUUUUUGAGAUUAUAUAUCUGAUGUGGUGCACAAUCAUUCUGUAGGUUAAGCUUCAACAAAGAAAAAAAGAACUUAUUUUAUUCUGAUUAAAAGGGUAAUAUAUGUCCAUAUAAAAUAUUCAAACAAUUCUGAAGAUUAUAUAGAAAAAUGUAGGAACCACCUAAAAACUCUAGUUCCUAAAUGUGACUGUUGUAAACUCUUGUAAAGAUUUUGGGGACUAUUUUUCCAGAUGUCUUUCUAUUCAUGUAUACACAAAUACACAUUCUAAAAUAUUGAUGAGCUAAUAUUAAGCAUAUUAGUUUGUAACCUGGUUUUUUUCACUUAGCAUGUGGCUUUCCAUGUCAGUGGAUAAUUGAUAUGCAUAGAUAUGUUAUUUUCUUUAAUGGCUGCAUAGCAUUCCUAUCCUCGUAUAUGUCACAAUGUAUUCAAAUAAUCCUUCUUUGGGUUGCUUCUAAUUUUUUGAGAGAAUAAACUACAAGGUAAUGACUAUGUGAUUUCACUUUUGUGUACCUGUCCAAUUAUUUCCUUUGGACAAUUUCCUAGCAAUAAACUUUGCUGGAUCAAACAUA